rnacentral:misc_RNA from 1 species
UUUAUGCAAUUAAAAGUUCCAUCGAUAUAACGAUUUCAAUGACAUGCGGAUUAAUUUGAGAGAAAAUUUCCGUAAAAUUUAUAAAAAUGCAGAUUUUUUCUAUGUAGGAAGUUAUUCCACUAUAUGUAACAAAUAUAGUGCAUUGAGUACCACUUCCCCGCAAAACAUGACCUUUACAUCUACACACUUCCCAGUUCAUUCAAGUGGUAGAGGUCACACUCAUGCUGACAUAUCUGCAACAAAUAAAACCAAGGGAUCUACUACCACACAAACAGCCGAGAAUAUUUUUAGCAGUAUGACAGGACGAGAACCUUCCAGCGACGACCUAAUCGAAAAUAGUAAGAUACUGUUGUUUUACCCUAUGAAUGUAUAGUUUAUAUUUAGCUGUUUUAAAUCUAAAUGUCUUGAAUGUAAAGCGAUUUUGAGGAACACUCAACUUAGUGCUUAACGUUGAUUGGUGCCUGCGUGUGUGUUGAAGGUAUUUACCAUUAUUCUUUACGUAGAUGAAAGCAUAAACGACCUUUAUGUAUUAUUUUCGUUAAUGUGAUUUAUCUAUUUUAGUUACAUCCUGGAUUUAUACCGUGGUUGUGAUUUUAGCUAUUUUUGUUUCGCUUAUCAUCUUCCUGAUCUGUGUUUAUUGCAUUAAACAAAGAAAAGACAGAAAUUUGCUGCUGAAAAUACUUCAAAGAUUAAAUGAUGGAUGUACCAAUAUAGAUGAAUCACAUUUCAAAACAGCUAAAAUCCCUAAUAGUCCUUCACGGCCGUCCGAUGAUGAUCCAAACUAUCAGGAAAUUCCAAACAAUCUCCACAACAAUCCAACAACAAAACAACACACUAAUCCAGGGUACGAUACAGACUGCCCUAAUCCAGGGUACGAUACAGACUGCCCGAAAUCGGAAAACACUGGAAAAGGACAAGACGACGCCGAAGUGACGUCACUUGAUGGUAAUGGUCAAUACUUCAAGCUUGAAAAAAGUUACCCGAAAGAGGUGGUUUGAAAUGAAAAGAAAUUCUGAAUAUAAAAUAAAGAUUGCAUCGCUUUUGUUGAACGCACACAUUUAAAGCAUUUCAAUAUUUCUAGAUACGGUUGCAUUUACAACAAUUUUUAUUUAUUUCAUGAUCACUGCAUAAUUACAUUAAAACAACACAAAUUUAAGUUUCAGUGUGAAAAAAAUGUAUGGGAUGAGUGUACGUGUAUUUUUUUUUCAUUAGUGUUUAUUAAGCAACAUAAAUUAAAAAUGAAUGUAAAC